AGCCGCAAGGUGAGCACAGAGCGAACUGCCUUUUACUAAAGAAUACUGUGUGCUCGCUGCAGAUAGCGGCAUACGCCUAUUUUUGGAGGGGCUUUCCCUUUCUGGGUGAGC